GCACGAGUGGCGGAACUGGCAGACGCAGCGGACUUAAAAUCCGCUGACUCGCAAGGGUCGUCCGGGUUCGAUCCCCGGCUCGUGCACAA
rnacentral:tRNA from 1 species